CAACGACGCAUCUUCUUCCCCACGAUUCUCCACAGCCGACACAUCUUCUUCCCAUCGAUUCUCCACAGCAUUUGUGCAAGAUAGAUUCAAAAGGCAAAGCAAGAAAGGUUGUUGGAUGCUCAUGCCUUGUUGUGAAGGAUUAUAGAGAGGAAAGUGAAGGUUUACACAUUGUCCAGGAGUAUGUCAAGUCUCACUAGAUAUGUAACAAGUGAUCAAAGUAUUUCAUGUGUGACUGUUUAUCGACUCUUUUUACUGGGAUGAACAUUUCUUGUAGCAAAUUUUGGAUCAUUAAAACGAAUUCUCUCUUUAUAUAAUGUUGGGUUCAUUAACUAUUAUCUUUUCAAAUACAUGUAAAAGGGUAAAGUUAGGCUAUCUCACGAACCUGAGAAAGCCAAUGAACACUAAAAGAGGAGUGGACAAGGUGCAAACUUUUGUCCGGAAAAAGUCUACCGUAAAAGGAACCAGGAACGGCUGAAACAAUACAAGGGCCAACGUUUUCUCCCUUCUCCCUCUUCAGCUUUGCAUAAAAUUCGGACCUCAAUGACUAUAUCAAUUAUAUUAGAUGCAACCAAGAGCGUGUUUCUACUAGAGCCGCAUCCUAAAUCUGCAAUCUUGAAACAACCGUCUAAAAAGAUAUCACGGCUUGCAAUACCCUUGAUUGUAUGAUUAAGACAU